rnacentral:rRNA from 1 species
UUGCUUCUCUUGAGAGCGGCGGACGGGUGAGUAAUGCCUAGGAAUCUGCCUAGUGGUGGGGGAUAACGUUCGGAAACGGACGCUAAUACCGCAUACGUCCUACGGGAGAAAGCGGGGGAUCUUCGGACCUCGCGCCAUUAGAUGAGCCUAGGUCGGAUUAGCUAGUUGGUGAGGUAAUGGCUCACCAAGGCGACGAUCCGUAACUGGUCUGAGAGGAUGAUCAGUCACACUGGAACUGAGACACGGUCCAGACUCCUACGGGAGGCAGCAGUGGGGAAUAUUGGACAAUGGGCGAAAGCCUGAUCCAGCCAUGCCGCGUGUGUGAAGAAGGUCUUCGGAUUGUAAAGCACUUUAAGUUGGGAGGAAGGGUAGUAACUUAAUACGUUGCUACUUUGACGUUACCGACAGAAUAAGCACCGGCUAACUUCGUGCCAGCAGCCGCGGUAAUACGAAGGGUGCAAGCGUUAAUCGGAAUUACUGGGCGUAAAGCGCGCGUAGGUGGUUCAGUAAGUUGGAAGUGAAAUCCCCGGGCUCAACCUGGGAACUGCUUUCAAAACUGCUGAGCUAGAGUACGGUAGAGGGUGGUGGAAUUUCCUGUGUAGCGGUGAAAUGCGUAGACAUAGGAAGGAACACCAGUGGCGAAGGCGACCACCUGGACUGAUACUGACACUGAGGUGCGAAAGCGUGGGGAGCAAACAGGAUUAGAUACCCUGGUAGUCCACGCCGUAAACGAUGUCAACUAGCCGUUGGAAUCCUUGAGAUUUUAGUGGCGCAGCUAACGCAUUAAGUUGACCGCCUGG